AUGAACGCUGGCGGUCUGCUUAACACAUGCAAGUCGAACGGACCCUUCGGGUUAGUGGCGGACGGGUGAGUAACGCGUGAGAAUCUGCCUUCAGGUCUGGGACAACAGAAGGAAACUUCUGCUAAUCCGGGAUAAGCCUUUUGGUAAAAGAGAAAUUGCCUGGAGAUGAGCUCGCGUCUGAUUAGCUAGUUGGUGAGGUAAAAGCUUACCAAGGCGACGAUCAGUAGCUGGUCUGAGAGGAUGAGCAGCCACACUGGGACUGAGACACGGCCCAGACUCUACGGAGCAGCAGUGGGAAUUUUCGCAAUGGGCGAAAGCCUGACGGAGCAAGACCGCGUGGGGAGGAAGGCUCUAGGGUUGUAAAACCCCUUUCUUUGGGAAGAAGAAAGUAGACGGUACCAAAGGAAUCAGCCUCGGCUAACUCCGUGCCAGCAGCCGCUGUAAU
rnacentral:rRNA from 1 species